UCAGUACUUGGUAAUAUGAGCGAGAAACACCUUACAGUCAGCUCUGUUCACCAAACACUUGGUUCCAGGAGCCAGAGGCACAGGGAUGAAUAAAGCAUGGGCUCUGUGCCCCAGGGGCUGACAGCGAUGUGAGCAGACAGGUAAACAGGUAAUUUUAGGGUGAGAGCUGGGAGACAAGAAAAAAGUUGUUCACAGCUCAGCUUGGGAAGGUGGCUGGCACAAACCAGAGUUUGCUGACUCCUUCCUUUUCUAGAGAGAGAAGAGCCGAGUGCAGAACACAAGGCCAACAAGGACCACUUGAGAGGCAGCUUCUCAGUGAUGCUGGGUUUGGCCACACGGUCUGCUUUGGAAAUGUGGAUAGUGACAAUGUGACAGUUCUGGGUCAAGGCCAUCUGAGGCAUCCUGUGUUUCAUCUUGCUCUGUAUUCCUGGGCUCUCUUCUGAGAAGAGUAGGCCCUAAGUAGCCGCUGGUCCAGAGGGAAUGAAGCCUGGGAAGCACACCUGAGGCCAAUCCUGGCCACAUCGGGCC